rnacentral:tRNA from 1 species
GUGCCGGUGGGUGAAUUGGUCCAGCCACCGGAUUGCAAAUCCGUCAAUGCAGGUUCGAGUCCUGUCCGGCACUCCA